AAAGAUUGAAAGGAAAGAUUGAAACAAAGAUUUUUACAUCGACCAUAACAAUCGAUUAAAAAAUGAAUGAUGAAAGAAAUAUUCAUGCAUUAUUCAUUUAUUUUAAAAUCAGAAUAAAAUAUUUGUUCAAUAUUCAUUAAAUUUUCGAAUAUUGAAUGAAUAAUUUAUUUAUUCAUCAUUAACUGAAUGAAUGUUAACAUGUAUGCCAACUUACACCUAUGGUUUACCAGGACCGACAACGAGGUACGCGUCUGAUGCCGAGGACCACCAAAUGUUUUCCUACAGUGAACAAGUAGUUGCGAACCUUGACAUCGCACGAGCUAUCACGAUGAUGUUUACGGACAACAAAGGCAUCGAGUUUGUCACGGCGACCUAUGAUUUGUCGGGCAGCAAUAUUCGGAGUGGGAGCACUUCACUGGGCGUGUUCGCUUCAAGGUAUCGCCACACGCCUCUGCCAUACACCGCAUUGGGAAGAAAUUGGGCUUUUUGCGGUGCGCAGACUCUUACCGUGAAUAUCACGGGAGGUGGAACUGUGACAAUGAAAAAGGUUAAAGUUUCUUGCUGGGGAUGCUGUUUUUUUGCCUGUUGUUGCAGAGGGUCUUACGAGAUAUUAGUUAAUGGGGAGAAGGUCGGGUCAUGGGGUCGUGAUGGGGAAGGGGAUGCACCUCUCGUCACGUUCUCGCCAACGUUAGACCCCAGAUUGAAAGGAAUCAUUAUCGUGCUAUCGUUCAUUUUGUUCAAUAUCCACUAUUAAAAAUGUCGGCGAUCUGGCAGCCCAUCUAUUGAAUUACAUAUUAUUUAAUUACUGUAAUUAAACAUACGAAUAGGAAAAUGUCAACAUCUGCGGAUUUCACAUCAGGAUUAUCUAAAAAAUAUAUUCUGGAAGGCAGUGGUCAUGGAGUUGAUAUCGAUAUGGAACGCUGUAAUAUUGGGAUGCUGUUUCCUCACACUCGCAUGUGGCAAGGGAUUCACAGCACACAGACCCGAAUAAAUUUUUGCAUUGGUCAGUAAAUGGAAGGCAAUUCUCAUGCAACUCUGUUAAAUAUUGAACACAAUUUGGGGGGUUUGGGUUUUAAAAGUAGUAGAAUCGUAGUUUGCGAACCACAGGCUGUGGUUCAAGCAUUAAUCCGUCAGAUACAUAAUCACAAGACUUAGUUAUAACA